UUUCCGGUUGAUCCUGCCGGAGGUCACCGCUAUUGGAGUUCGAUUAAGCCAUGCGAGUCGAGAGAUUUCGGAUCUCGGCAUACUGCUCAGUAACACGUGGAUAAUCUGCCCUAAGGUGGGGAAUAAUCUCGGGAAACUGAGGAUAAUGCCCCAUAGACCUCAUAUGCUGGAAUGCUUUGAGGUCGAAAGCCCCGGCGCCUUAGGAUGAGUCUGCGGCCUAUCAGGUCGUAGUGAGUGUAACGGACUCACUAGCCGACAACGGGUACGGGCCUUGAGAGAGGUUGCCCGGAGAUGGAUUCUGAGACACGAAUCCAGGCCCCACGGGGCGCAGCAGGCGCGAAAACUUCACAAUGCGGGAAACCGCGAUGAGGGAACUCCAAGUGCCAGUACAUUGUGCUGGCUGUUCGCUUGCCUAAAAAGCUAGCGGAGUAAGGGGUGGGUAAGACUGGUGCCAGCCGCCGCGGUAAUACCAGCAGCCCAAGUGGUGAUCGCUAUUAUUGGGCCUAAAGCGUCCGUAGCCGGGCUGGUAAACCCUUGGGUAAAUCGUCCAGCUUAACUGAACGACUUCCGAGGAGACUGUCAGCCUUGGGACCGGGAGAGGUCGGAGGUACUCCAGGGGUAGGGGUGAAAUCCUGUAAUCCUUGGGGGACCACCGGUGGCGAAGGCGUCCGACUAGAACGGGUCCGACGGUAAGGGACGAAGCCCUGGGUCGCAAACCGGAUUAGAUACCCGGGUAGUCCAGGGUGUAAACGCUGCGGGCUUGGUGUUGCGGGUCCUACGAGGGCGCGCAGUGCCGGAGAGAAGUUGUUAAGCCCGCCGCCUGGGGAGUACGCUCGCAAGAGUGAAACUUAAAGGAAUUGGCGGGGGAGCACCGCAACGGGUGGAGCGUGCGGUUUAAUUGGAUUCAACGCCGGG
rnacentral:rRNA from 1 species